rnacentral:lncRNA from 1 species
UUAUAUCAAAAUAAUCUACUCGGGUUUUGAGUAUUACUUGUAAGAACGGAAUUCUUUGUUUUGUAAUGGAUAGUUGCAAUUCCAUAAAAAAGAAUUCAGUCAAAUUUUUCUUACAUUGAACCAUUCCUCUAUCAUAUAUGUGGAUGUGUAAAGACAGGUACCAUAUAUAUAUUUUAUAUGGAUAUAUGGAUUCAUUUCGUUCUUUUUAUUCUUACUCGAGCUAGAUGAUUAAAAAUUAUCAUGUCCAGUUCCCUCGGGGGAUGGAUCUAUAAGAAUUCACCUAUCCUAAUAACAAAAAAACCUGACUUGAAUGAUCCUGUAUUACGAGCUAAAUUGGCUAAAGGUGGUCUACCUCUAAAAUAGCCAUUCUCUCCUAUUUGUAGGCCAGACUAGUUAUUGCAUAGAAGACCCAAAAG